UACGGUGGUGUUUGGGUAGAAAGGUGGAGGUAUCGGGGUGCUAUAGGGCGCUACGGGGUGCUAUGGGGCAGCCCCCCAGUGCUAUGGGGUGCUAUGGUGCUAUGGGGCAGCCCCACAGUGCUAUGGGGCAGAGCCACGGUGGUGUGGGGUGCUGUGGGGAAGAGCCACGGUGCCAUUCGGGCAGCAACCUGGUGGUACUGGGGUGCUAUGGGGCGCUAUGGGGCAGCCCCACGGCACUGUGGGGUGCUAUGGGGUGCUAUGGGGCAGCCCCCCAUGCUAUGGGGCAGCCCCCCACGCUAUGGGGCAGCCCCAUGCAACCCCAAGACACUAUGGGGCUGCCCUAUACAGCCCCCCGAUGCUACGGGGCAGCCCCCUGGUCCUAUGGGGCAGCCCCCCAGUGCUAUGGGGCGCUAUGGGGCAGCCCCCCAGCCCUAUGGGGCAGCCCCCCAUGCUAUGGGGCAGCCCCCCAAGCACUGACCCGUGGCCGUGGUGGUGUUUGUCGGCGCCGUGCUGCUCCCCGAAGCCGGGCGAGGUGAGGACGAACGGGCGCUUCGGGAGGCUGAACUUCAGCCCGCCCGCCCCGGGGGCUUCUGUGGGGGGGGGACAGAAAUUUGGGGGUGACGGGGGGGCCACGGGGGGUGGCGCGGGCUUUUUUUGGGGAAUU
rnacentral:lncRNA from 1 species